rnacentral:rRNA from 1 species
UUGAACGCUGGCGGCAUGCUUUACACAUGCAAGUCGCACGGUAACAGGCCUUCGGGUGCUGACGAGUGGCGAACGGGUGAGUAAUGCAUCGGAACGUACCCAGAGGUGGGGGAUAACGCAGCGAAAGCUGUGCUAAUACCGCAUGUGAUCUGAGGAUGAAAGCGGGGGACCGAGCAGCAAUGUUUGGCCUCGCGCCUUUGGAGCGGCCGAUGUCGGAUUAGCUAGUUGGUGGGGUAAAGGCCUACCAAGGCGACGAUCCGUAGCUGGUCUGAGAGGACGACCAGCCACACUGGGACUGAGACACGGCCCAGACUCCUACGGGAGGCAGCAGUGGGGAAUUUUGGACAAUGGGCGCAAGCCUGAUCCAGCAAUGCCGCGUGCGGGAAGAAGGCCUUCGGGUUGUAAACCGCUUUUGGCAGGAACGAAACGGUGUCCGCUAAUACCGGGCGCUAAUGACGGUACCUGCAGAAUAAGCACCGGCUAACUACGUG